AAUUUCAAAAAUAAUAGUAAACUAUACAUUUUGUAAGAUCAAAAUAUUUUUUUACGUUAUCAUUAUUGUGGCAAAUACAGUGGAAUUAAAUUAAAAACGUGUAAGAUAAGCAUGUGCGGUCUUUGAAUAGUAUUAAGGGCUAAUACACAUAUUUAGUGAUAACUACGGACCUAAAAUUUAAUGUAAAAGCAAAAUUAUUUCCUUAUACCUGAUAAGUGUGUGCUUUUAGAUAUUGCACCUUAUAUGGAACUAUGACCAAUAGUGGACCAUUCCGGGAUAUUUGGUAGAAUGAUUUCUGUGUUCACAAAACAUAUUCAUGCCGAAUUUUAUUCCAAUAAGUUAAAUAGGUGGGAAUUAUGGGAAAAUUUGCUGCCGCGGAAUAUUAGCGUCACUGACCGAUGGACGAAACCGGCAUCCAAUGAAGUUUAUUUACCCAGUUAUAUGAUUGCAUUGUACUAAAAAUUCAGAGAACUCUUGCUAUUUUUGAAAACCCCGUCCAAAUACUGUUAGAUUAAAGUACUCUACGCCUGAAAAUAAACAUAUAUGAAGAAAUUCAACCAUCAGAAGUAUUUGCAAGUCAGAACACGCAGUAAGUGAGAUUGGGUGUCAAAACCCCUAUUUAAUAACAGAGACCGACUUUGCUGAUCUACAGCUUGACAUAGGAAUAUACAAAAAGGGAUCAGAGUUGUCAAGGAUUUCCAUGCAAAAUCUUCUCGAAAGCGAUCAGCUUAUUUGAUGAGUGCAGUACGCAGCAGAUAUCAUAAUUUAUUUAAAAUAAUUGCAUACCCUUAUGAUCCUGACAAAUGGUUGCUAUUUAUAGAUGGAUCUCUCAAAAGCCUUAAGUGCUGCUCAAUAUUGGAUAUAUGAAUCGUUCAAUAUCCAUAAAUUAUGCCACAGAUGUUGAGGAAAAUUAUAAAAAUAGUAGCAUUUUUAAUAUUUGAAGAGGGGAUUUCCAAAACAUCAGUGCUUCAUGUGCCUUUGUGAAGGACGUCAACGUGAAUUGCACUAUACAGACUACGAAUUGGAAUCGCGUACAAUAUAAGGAAUCAUAAG